GACGAACGCUGGCGGCGUGCUUAACACAUGCAAGUCGAACGGAAAGGCCCUGCUUUUGUGGGGUGCUCGAGUGGCGAACGGGUGAGUAACACGUGAGUAACCUGCCCUUGACUUUGGGAUAACUUCAGGAAACUGGGGCUAAUACCGGAUAGGAGCUCCUGCUGCAUGGUGGGGGUUGGAAAGUUUCGGCGGUUGGGGAUGGACUCGCGGCUUAUCAGCUUGUUGGUGGGGUAGUGGCUUACCAAGGCUUUGACGGGUAGCCGGCCUGAGAGGGUGACCGGCCACAUUGGGACUGAGAUACGGCCCAGACUCCUACGGGAGGCAGCAGUGGGGAAUAUUGCACAAUGGGCGGAAGCCUGAUGCAGCAACGCCGCGUGCGGGAUGACGGCCUUCGGGUUGUAAACCGCUUUCGCCUGUGACGAAGCGUGAGUGACGGUAAUGGGUAAAGAAGCACCGGCUAACUACGUGCCAGCAGCCGCGGUGAUACGUAGGGUGCGAGCGUUGUCCGGAUUUAUUGGGCGUAAAGGGCUCGUAGGUGGUUGAUCGCGUCGGAAGUGUAAUCUUGGGGCUUAACCCUGAGCGUGCUUUCGAUACGGGUUGACUUGAGGAAGGUAGGGGAGAAUGGAAUUCCUGGUGGAGCGGUGGAAUGCGCAGAUAUCAGGAGGAACACCAGUGGCGAAGGCGGUUCUCUGGGCCUUUCCUGACGCUGAGGAGCGAAAGCGUGGGGAGCGAACAGGCUUAGAUACCCUGGUAGUCCACGCUGUAAACGGUGGGUACUGGGUGUGGGGUCCAUUCCACGGGUUCCGUGCCGUAGCUAACGCUUUAAGUACCCCGCCUGGGGAGUACGGCCGCAAGGCUAAAACUCAAAGGAAUUGACGGGGCCCCGCACAAGCGGCGGAGCAUGCGGAUUAAUUCGAUGCAACGCGUAGAACCUUACCUGGGUUUGACAUGGAUCGGGAGUGCUCAGAGAUGGGUGUGCCUCUUUUGGGGUCGGUUCACAGGUGGUGCAUGGCUGUCGUCAGCUCGUGUCGUGAGAUGUUGGGUUAAGUCCCGCAACGAGCGCAACCCUUGUUCACUGUUGCCAGCACGUUAUGGUGGGGACUCAGUGGAGACCGCCGGGGUCAACUCGGAGGAAGGUGGGGAUGACGUCAAGUCAUCAUGCCCCUUAUGUCCAGGGCUUCACGCAUGCUACAAUGGCUGGUACAGAGAGUGGCGAGCCUGUGAGGGUGAGCGAAUCUCGGAAAGUCGGUCUCAGUUCGGAUUGGGGUCUGCAACUCGACCUCAUGAAGUCGGAGUCGCUAGUAAUCGCAGAUCAGCAACGCUGCGGUGAAUACGUUCCCGGGGCU
rnacentral:rRNA from 1 species